AAUGGGCAUGCUUUUUUAUUUUAUAUAAUGAUGGUCAAGAAUCAAGAUUAUCUUGGACACACCUCAACUAAUUAUAGAAGAUACAUAUUACCUCUCACUAGCACAAGUACUGAAUAACUCUGUUCACGAAGACUUAAACAAAUGAGAAGAAAGCACAUACAAAUUUUUUUGUUUCCGCUAGAAUUUGAACAUUAGACCUCAUGAUUUUCAAUCACUUCAUUGAUCACUAAGCCACAUCCUUGAGUACAUACUAGAGAUGAAGAUAUUUUGUAAAGUAUGUGCCUAAAGUACCCCUAUGACAAUAUAUGAUUUUAUAUAUAAUCCGCUAUUUGUCUAAGUAGAAAGGUUGCUUCCUAUAGACCCUCGGCUCAAAGAAGGAAAGGUAAACCAUUAUGGACUAAAAUUGAGAAGAGCCCAACCCAGCAUUCCUCUCAUUUCUUGGGGUCACACUAAACCUGUUUACCAACUUUGAUUACUUCAAGGAAAUGACAAUAAACAUCUUUUUUUUCUCCACUUGGAUUACAAGAUAAUGUUCAAGCAGUUGAUCAAUAUGAAGUUCACCUGAAUAGUUCUUCGAAACAAAGAACAUGGAUAGAGAUAAUACCUCAGAAGUGGGGACUUUUCUGAGCGAAAUCCCGUCUUCCAACAAGCAACAAUCUCAUUUAAGGUCAGGGGAUGUGGUUGCUUUGGUGUUUACACUUCCCAGUGCCUGCUGAAAUGCUCAGUUGAUGGCGCAGACACUGACUUUAACCUCGGCAACGAAUCUGGAUUGCUGACCAUGACUAUAUACCAGUUCCAAAAGAGGAGAUAUACAAAUGACAUUUAACAGAAUAAUCAUAUAGUAAUAUUUCAAACUCAAAUGAACCUAAUCAUUGGUUAGACCAAAUAUUGGAUAAAAGCUUUUGUAUUGUGCAAGAGAAAUGUGAGUCGGAAAAUGAGGCUGAUUAGGUCUCCUCAGGGAAAAUUAGUUCUUUCUCUAUAGUAAAGCUAUCUGGAUUGUAGCAUCUAAUAUCAUUCCCACAUUUGCCCUCUUCCAUCUAGCCUUUAUCUAAUAAAUUCAGCCCUUACUAUGUCUUUUAAGAUCUCUCUGGCUUCGUUGUUUGGACUCUCCAAAAAGCAAUUGUAUCUGAUCCUCCAAAAAUGCACUACUUUGGGAGGAUCCAACAUGCACCACUCGACAAUUUUGAAGAGUCCGACAACAUAGCUCUCUGGCUUUACUCUCUUAUUACAAGUCUCAACCCCUCCUUCCCCUGUCCAAAACCAAAGGAAAAAAGAGACAAUUCCUGAAGUAGGGUCUUUGCAUUAUAUUAUCAAUGGAAUGCUAUUUACCAAAAAU